GAACUUUCUUCUGACUGCCGAGACUGAUCAGUGCGUUGAAAUAGAUAGACAUUUCUGUACCUACAAAACUGCAUUAAUGAAAUGAAUGCAUGUGUUAUUAAAAACAAUACAGUUUAAAAUAUUAAUGAGCACACAGCUAACCACCACGGAGGAGUUGCACAAUUUAAAUAAUGUUGAGCAAAAGAAGCAGACAUAAGAAUACACACUUUAUGACUCCAUUUAUAUAAAGCUCAAACACAAACAACACAAAUCUGUAGGGUUACAAGUCAGCACAGUGAUCACUCUCCGAGGCAAAGCCUGCAACUGGAGCAGGAGGACUGGGGACACUGAUAAUGUUCUGUUUCUCAAGCUGGGUGCUGGUUCCACACGUGUGUCCAUUUCAUGAAAACUCAUUGAUCUUACGUAGUUGUGAACUUACGAUUUGUGCCUUUUUCUGUGUACAUUUUAUUUCAGUAACACAUUUACUUUACGAAAUGAAAAUGAAUAAGAGAAAAAAACACUAAGAAGUAAGGGAAUGGGAUUGUGGGACAUUUUUAAAAGACAAGGGUGAGGGCUGAGGGCUGGGGAUAGAAUUCUAAAAGAGAGAAAAUGCAUUAAAAUAGGUAGCAAAAAUAUUAUUAACAAGGUCUCAUGUGUUCACUUUGCUAUCUUAAUAUCUGCACACCCACAAACACUUCGAUUAGUCCUUAGUAUCCAGACUUCACCCAAAUAUCUGGAUCUUUCUCCAUUCUUUUGUGUGUUUUAAAGUCCAAGUCUGAUUAAGGUGUUUAAGAAUCUUAUUUUUUUGUGGCUAUUUUAAGGUGCAGCCAUUCCCACCCCCCCAAAAAAAAGCUCAUUUUCUCCUUGCACAUACAUUAGAAAAUCAUCAGAUGAUUUCCUUGUUUUCAGUUUUGAGAUAUAUUUUCUGUUCAAGAGGGGGUAUCUGUUUCUGAUUUAUUAGCAUUUGAUCCCCUAGUUUCCUGCCAUUGAUCAAGCCUAAUACUUGGCUCAGCUGAUGAGUUUUAUAUGAAAACUGAUAUUUCAGGAAGACGGAAGGUUGAACCCAUUUUUAAUAUUUUCCCCCCUUCAUCUCUUUCAGAGUUUGACGUACACAGGAGACACCUAGCAAAGCCCGAAACUUUAUUAUUUUUCACCACAUCUCCCUGGUAUAAAACUUUUGUGGAAGUCAAACACAUAUUUAUCAAUAGAAGAGAUGUUUGUCCAGUGUCAUUCACAUCCUGUCAACUGUAUAUACAUUUACACCCUCUCGCCAAAACAUGCCUUCACCCCGCUGCUGACCGGCUGUCCGCCGUUCAAUCUCCAGUGAAGUCUUGACGAUGCCCAGACUCAAUUCCACUGUAAUGAGCCCAGGCCGUUUGCAGUUCCACGCCUUCCGAGCUGGCAGCACACUGGGGGAGGAUUUCCCUUCUUCGACUAGAAGAGAUCGUCCUAGUUCCUGCGAAAGUGUGACUGCUUACAGAGAGGACAGGACCUCAGUCUAUGACCCACCCAGGAAGGCAUGGAUAACUUCAGGAGGAGGUCACCAUUAUUGUGCAAGCGUUAUGAAAAUUGCUGAACUACAAUGGUAACCAACAUAAUCAACACAGCCAUUACCCUUAAGGACUUUAAGAAUCUUGCUCAGAGUGAGUUUGCGGAUCUCUAAUGUGAGAGAGACUGCCGUUGUCCCCAGUGACCAUCUACAGUUCUUCCACACUGUGAUGAUUUAUUUAUGUGUGAACUUCGCCGGGCCACAGAGUGCCCAGAUAUUUUGAUCAAACAUUAUUCUGGGAGUUUCUGGAUGAGAUUAACAUUUAAAUCAAUAAAGCAGAUUGCCUUCCAUGAUGUGGUGGGCCUCAUCCAAUCAGUUGAAGGCCUGAAUAGAACAAAAAGACAGGAAGCAAGAAGGAAUUCUCUAGCCUGCUGGCCUCCAAACUGACACUGCAGCGUUGGCUUUCCUGGAUCUCUAGUCUACCAGCCCAUCUUGCAGAUUUUGGACUUGCCAGCCUACAU